UGACUGCGAGGAAUUCUAUGGGAGAGUUCUGGACAACUCUGGCAUUUUAUCUUCAGCAAAUGGGAGCUGCAAAUUACAGACAGAAAAAUUAUGGAAGAGAUUGUAUCCUAUGGAGUCCUAUGACCUUGAUUUGGAUAAGGCAAUCUCAGAGCCAAUUUCACCUCUUGAGAAAUGCACGACCUAUGAUCUUGUUUCAGCUGCCAAGAGGCAAAGCUCAUUUUAUCUUGAGGUACAAUAAUGAACUUGACUAAAGUAAAUUACAUAUGUUUUACAAGUUUGAAUUUGAAUAUAUUUUCAGGAUUUAUAUGGAGUUUGAGUACUUUCUGAUAAACGCUUGCACUUAAAAUAUUUAAUCUACAACUGAAAUAUUUUGAAAUUCAUAUAAAUACUUCCAAUACAUAUAAUAAAUGGGUGUGUUACAAGGUUUCUAAGCCAUUUGUUGGCGUAUCUUUGCUACAGGUUUCAAGAGCCAAUGUGGACAGUGAGAUCAUUAUGGAAGAAGCUGUUGGUAGAUACAAAGCAUUCCUCUACUUAAUCAAGGAAAACCGUGAAAAGACGAUCAGACUAAUCAGUGUUCCGACUUAUGAUAUUGAUCUAAUUUGGCAUACACAUCAGCUGAACCCUUCCUCUUACUACAAGGAUAUGGUAAAGAUCUUUGGUAACAUCUUACAGCAUGAUGAUACGGCAGACUCUGCCACAAGCGAAGGUAUGAAUCUCGACACUGUUUUCUCUGGAACUACUGCGCAAUGGGAAGAAACAUUUGGUCAAAGGUAUUGGAAAGCCAGCAUGGAUACGACGCCACAUACUUCAGCUAUGGUGGAGACUGAGAGGAGCGGUGCAGGUGCUAGAUGCUUGGCUGAGGCUGCUGAGAAAUGUAGUGCUGGUGCUAGGUGCUUUGCGGUGGAGGCUGAGAAGACCAGUGCUAGGUUUUUUGCUGUGGAUGCUGAGAAGAAAAAUGCUAGGUGCUUUGCAUUGGAAGCUGAGAAGAACAGUGCGAGGUGCUUUGCUCUGGAAGCUGAGAAGAACAGUGCUAGGUGCUUUUCUGUAGAGGCUGAGAAGAAAAAUGCAACGUGCUUUGCAGUGGAAGCUGAGAAGAACAGUGCUAGGUGUUUUGCUGUGGAGGCUGAGAAGAACAGUGCAAGGUGCUUUGCAGUGGAAGUUGAGAAGAAAAGUUCUAGGAGAGUUGCUGUGGAGGCUGAGAAGAAAAAUGCUAGGGGCUUUGCUAUGGAGGCUGAGAAGAAAAAAGCAAGGUGUUUUGCAGUGGAAGCCGGGAAGAACAAUGCUAGGUGUUUUGCUGUGGAGGCCGAGAAAAAAAAUGCAGGGUGCUUUGCAGUAACAAAUGGUAAGCGCAGUGCAAGAUGCUUUGCAAUGGAAGUUGAGAAGAAAAACGCAAGGUGCUUUGCAAUGACAGAUGGUAAGAGCAAUGCAAGGUGUUUUGCAAUUGCCUCUGGAAAGAACAGUGCAAGGUGCUUUGCAGUGGGGGCUGAAAAGAAUCGUGGAUGUGGAUGUGGUAAUUUGAUGAAGAACAAUGCUCAGGAAAAUGCUCCACUGGCGGAAGGCGCUACUGCAGCUUAAUUAAUUACUCGACUGAAGAAGUUCUAAUGUGUAAUGCCAAUGUAAAAUAUAUGUAAUAUAUGAUCUGGAAAUGAUGUGAAACUAAUGAGUGAUGUUUCAAAUGUUACAUGUUAUAAACAUGUACAUGCUAAUGUAAAUAAAUAAGUUACAACAGUUUAAUAUCGAUUUGAGUGUUUAUAUUGGAGUGGUGUGUUAAGGGUUGAACUAGGUGGUUGUCCAUGAAUUUAUGGAUAUAAAUAUUGUAUAAAAAAAUAUAUAUUAUGUAUAAAAUGUUAUAUACUUUGAAAGAUUAAAAGUAUAAUUUUUAACAUCAAAUAGUUUGAAAAUCAGUCGUAAAGUUUAUAUAAAUUUGAUGUAAAAAUAACUGAUGAAUAUUUAUUAAUAACAAAUGUUUGCGACAUUAUAUAUGUAAUUAUCACAUUAAUUUCACCAACACAUAUUAUGCAUCUUCUUCGGCCUCUCGAAGAACCACUAGUCUCUCCAAUUGACUGUGAAUGGGUUUGGCAUUGCCACAGGCUUGACCCGGUAAAUGUAAGCAUUGUAUAUCUUUGCAUACAACUCACAUAUGAAAAAGCACACUGUAGCAAAAUAAAAGCACACGGUAGUAGAGUAGUGAACAGUGGGAGGUAAAAUAUGUAGCUCACUAUUUUGUUAAUCAUCCAGGUGAGGUACAAGUCUGACUGUGAGGAAUUCUAUGGGAGAGUUCUGGACAACUCUGGCAUUGUAUCUUCAGCAAAUGGGAGCUGCAAAUUACAGACUGAAAAGUUAUGGAAGAGAUUGUAUCCUAUGGAGCCCUAUGACCUUGAUUUGGAUAAGGCAAUCUCAGAGCCAAUUUCACCUCUUGAGAAAUGCACGACCUAUGAUCUUGUUUCAGCUGCCAAGAGGCAAAGCUCAUUUUAUCUUGAGGUACAAUAAUGAACUUGACUAAAGUAAAUUAC
rnacentral:lncRNA from 1 species